CUGACCACAGAAUGUAGAAAAAACGUGGAAUAACAGUACCAGCCGCUCGUAGUUAUACAAUAGUACUUGAGUUUAUGAUGCGUUAAUUAUUCGUUCAAGGACAAUAUUCCUCGUAUUUUAUGUAAUCAAUGUAGGUAUAAUAUAUUUUUCAACUGUUGGAUGAUUUAGCCAGCUGUAGCAGUAUGGGUAGCAAAGUUUUACCACCUAAGUCUGGGAAAAGGAUGGCUCGUCUGUAAAUGCGAACAGAAAGUCGCAUUUAUGAGCGUGUAAUUAAAAUCAUGUAUCUCCUAGACCAGCGAAAUAAAAGUGCAAGAUAAAAGUUGCUAAAAUGCUCUGGAAUAAAAUUGCCAGCCUUGCCGAUCGAUGUAAGCUAAUGUAACGCUUAUGGAAAGCUAAUGAGAUUGACAUGGAAACAACACAUCAUAGACAAAUCGAAGCAACUCAAGGCUAAACUCAAAAAAUUCUACUGGCACAUUGGCUGUCGCUCCAACUUAAGCACACAGAGCAAAAUAAUGCUAUAUAAAGCCAUACUAAAACCUGUUUGGACCUAUGGGAUACAACUAUGGGGAACUGCGAAGAAUUCCAACUUAGAAAUUCUUCAACGAUUCCAAUCAAAAAUACUAAGAUCCUUAAUAAAUGCACCUUGGUAUGUCACCAACGAAACAAUCCACCGCGACCUCAAGACACCCACAGUCAAAGAAGAAAUAUACAAAUUCAAAAGCAGAUAUAACACAAGAGUCAACAACCACCACAACCCACAACCAUUAGCCACCCAACUACUUGACACGACGGAUCAGACCCGCAGACUAAAAAGAAAAUACCCUUUAGAUUGAAGCAUUAAAUUCAACUAGAAUCAAACAUAAUAUAAAUUAUUAUAAUCCAAGUUACUGUACCACGCCAAAUGAAGUUACUUAAAGUUCUCAAUGAGAAUUGCUUGUAAAUUGACGACCAAAUAAAAAAAAAAGAAAGAAACAUCUAUAUGAACGUCAUAAAAUUUCAGUACAAAUAAAUACAAGUAAAUUACAAAUAAAUUAUUAAAAUACAAAUAAAUUACUUUAGAUAUAAAGAUUAGUUAAUGCCAAUCGUCGACCUUAGUCGGUCAACGUGCAGUUUCCGAUUUGAAUACAAUUUUCAAGAAUAUGGAUCUCCGAGAAACUUGCCACGUAUCCAUCGUCGAAUAACUGGCAAAGGAUAAUUGCAACAAUGGUGAAAAAACUUUCGUCCGAUUUAAUUGUGACGGUGGUCUUCCCGACACGUCGUAAUUAAUCGAUGAAAAAAAUCGAAUAGGACGAAGAACGCAUAGUUGUCAACGCGUGGAACAAUUAUCGGACGUGAAUUGAAGCGCAGUGGAUUGAAGUGGCCAUGAGGCAGUCCCGAAGAACGAGCAUCGAAACCGGUUAACGACGACGACUACUAAACUGAAAAAGACACUUCAUCGUUCUGCUCGAUAAACAACAAUUGGAGAUUGAAAAUUCUUGAGCGUAUAGACAAACCAGUUGUAGGAACAUAGCUAUACUGUGGGGAAUCGUUAAUGAAUCUAGCGAAAAUCGUCGAGGAAGAAGAAAAAAAGAUCUUAGAAGAUAGAACUAGAACUAGAAAAUAAUACGAUUCUGUACAAAGAGAGAGAGAGAGAGAGAGAAAGAAGAAAGAAAAGUAAAGGGAAAAAUCUUCGAACCCGGAAGGAUUAAAUUGGCUUUUCUUUGGCAAAGGGUAGCCACGCGUGCAAUCUACUUUCCACGCAAUUACCGCUCCACCGACGACGCUUAGUUCCGUACAAUGUUAAUGGAUCAUCAACGUUAUCGCGCUAUUUCCAUUGAACGGAUCCAAUCACCGAAAAUUAUUCGGUUGUCCAGCACGCCGCUUGGUUAUCAUUAAUCUUCCUGGGCGGCUGGAGCGGCGGAACUUGGCCGCUAUUUACAAUCGGCCUUUCGUCCCUCUUAGAUGACGAUGUCUAGAGUUCAGAGCGCCAAGUAUUUCUUGAACACCGAUGUGAAACUGAAUUAAGUCGUCGAGAACCAAAUUAACGGAGCAUAGAAUAUCCACGGGAGCACGCACGCACACAACCGACUAUGCGUGUCACCGUCGUUAAAACGUUCGAAUUAACGUGGUUCUGGCGUUUGUGCUACAAUGGAAUUAAUUUCCCGGGAGUUUCGGCCGCCGCUAACGAGUUUAUGUUUAUAGUUUACGUCGAGAUUACGGUGCAGGAAGAACACGGACGACGCCUUCGAUGACGAGGAUUUUCAAACGCUGCUAGGUUCUUUUUGCACACGAUGUAUCUUGAGAAUGAAGCCGUAAGUCGUCGGAAAACUAAGCUAAGUUAUGCCACGCUAAAUUGAACAAUUUCAAAGGUUACGUUUCUUCGGCAUCUUAGCGUUCGAACUUGGCAUCUUCUUUCUAUAUUUGUUUCGUCAAGUGAUCGCUUGCACAGUCGAGGUUAAAGUUUAUUAUUAAUGAAAUAUUCUAUCGAAUAAAUACGUUGGAAAGACAAUUCGCAACAAACACUACGAUCCAUUAUCUUCCAUUAUUCACUUUCACCGUGAUUCCGUUUCCCCUGAAUUAAUUCGAAUCGUAGCAUUAAUGAUGAAUAUAUAUCGUCAACGCUAAUCGUAGGUAUCUCAUUAUCAUUAUACUCGUGAUAUUCGUAUUCAGCAUUUACCUAACGCUCUUCCAAUCAUAGCCGCAUGAUUUUCCUUCCGUCCACGGU